CCAGAAGACAGUACGACCCCUCUGGCAUAGUGAACGACAGUGCCUAUACUAUAAGACAUACAUUAAUGUUGGAGCAGGGUCAGAGGGACCUGAGAAGUAAAAUUAUCUUCUAAAUUAAGAACUAGCCCAUCGGCUGAAGAAUCCACAUCUGCAUAUUAUCACAGUUGCUGAAGCUUUUGUGGUACUAGAAGGCACCACGCAGGCUUCCAAAGGAGAGAGGCAGCCAACGGUCCCGGUCAGCUAUGACGCCUAUGAACUACAUCAAAAUUUACUUUAGGUAAGUCAGUGAUUGCCAACCAGUUCUCACAGUAACAGCAAAAGAACCUUCUUUGCAAUCUUUCUGGCAUGGAAUAUAUGAUGUUUACCUCUGAUGUCUUCUCUUUCC